CCUACGGGGCGCUGCAGUGAGGAAUAUUGGUCAAUGGACGCAAGUCUGAACCAGCCAUGCCGCGUGCAGGAAGACGGCUCUAUGAGUUAUAAACUGCUUUUGUACGAGGGUAAACGCAGAUACGCGUAUCUGUCUGAAAGUAUCGUACGAAUAAGGAUCGGCUAACUCCGUGCCAGCAGCCGCGGUCAUACGGAGGGUUCAAGCGUUAUCCGGAUUUAUUGGGUUUAAAGGGUGCGUAGGCGGUCGGAUAAGUUAGAGGUGAAAUCCCGAGGCUCAACUUCGGAAUUGCCUCUGAUACUGUUAGGCUAGAGAGUAGUUGCGGUAGGCGGAAUGUAUGGUGUAGUGGUGAAAUGCUUAGAGAUCAUACAGAACACCGAGUGCGAAGGCAGCUUACCAAGCUACUUCUGACGUUGAGGCACGAAAGCGUGGGGAGCAAACAGGAUUAGAUACCCGAGUAGUC
rnacentral:rRNA from 1 species